rnacentral:rRNA from 14 species
GGUAAGCAUGUAGUCAGUCGCGAUAGGCAAAUCCGUCGCGGCGUUUACACGAGAUGCGAUACCAGCUGGCUUGACCGCCGGCGAGUCCCUGAAGCCAUGCCCCCUAGAAAACCCUCUAGGCAGGUUGCUCGCGCCCGUACCGAGAACCGACACAGGUGGACUACUAGAGAAUAGUAAGGUGAGCGAGAUAACCCACGUUAAGGGACUCGGCAAAAUC